rnacentral:rRNA from 1 species
UACCGGGAGGCAGCAGUGGGGAAUAUUGCACAAUGGGCGCAAGCCUGAUGCAGCCAUGCCGCGUGUGUGAAGAAGGCCUUCGGGUUGUAAAGCACUUUCAGUCGUGAGGAAGGUGGUGUAGUUAAUAGCUGCAUUAUUUGACGUUAGCGACAGAAGAAGCACCGGCUAACUCCGUGCCAGCAGCCGCGGUAAUACGGAGGGUGCGAGCGUUAAUCGGAAUUACUGGGCGUAAAGCGCAUGCAGGUGGUUUGUUAAGUCAGAUGUGAAAGCCCGGGGCUCAACCUCGGAAUAGCAUUUGAAACUGGCAGACUAGAGUACUGUAGAGGGGGGUAGAAUUUCAGGUGUAGCGGUGAAAUGCGUAGAGAUCUGAAGGAAUACCGGUGGCGAAGGCGGCCCCCUGGACAGAUACUGACACUCAGAUGCGAAAGCGUGGGGAGCAAACAGGAUUAGAUACCCUGGUAGUCCACGCCGUAAACGAUGUCUACUUGGAGGUUGUGGCCUUGAGCCGUGGCUUUCGGAGCUAACGCGUUAAGUAGACCGCCUGGGGAGUACGGUCGCAAGAUUAAAACUCAAAUGAAUUGACGGGGGCCCGCACAAGCGGUGGAGCAUGUGGUUUAAUUCGAUGCAACGCGAAGAACCUUACCUACUCUUGACAUCCAGAGAACUUCCAGAGA